GAAAACCCCUGCAUGAACUGGGCCCCUGACUCCAGGAAAACAGAGGCAUCUUCCAAUGUCCUUGGAGCCAUGAGACCCCGAAACACCUACCGGGAACAGAGGGGCUUCACCCAGACAGGCCCCACCAGGGAGGAGGAGGCCGCUCUCCCUCCCACCACCGUUGUCGGGGGUGACCCGAGGUGUUCCAGAUGAGGAGCUGAAUCACUGGGACUUAAGUCAAUAAGUGGCAGCCACCAGGCAGGCCCAGCUGGAGCCAAACCAAGGCCUGGAUUCUCCUCGUGGAUGUCUGGCACAGCAUGAGCCCUGAUGUGCGCUUUCUGCUCCUGCUCCUGCUCCUGCCCCUUCGGAGGCCUGUGCCAGUGGCAGCUGGGCCCGGAGACACCAGGCCGGCACUGCUCUCUUUCGAGGCACCCGUGUUUGUGCCGACGCUGACUCCCGGUUGUCUGCAGCAGCCACGUGGCCGAAAUGGAGCCUCUCCACGGGGGCUCCUUCCCCAGCCCCUGGAUGGCACAGCAGCCUCUCCUGUCUGUCACCACGUGUGACCUGCUCCCUUAGUCUUCAGCCGCUCAUCCACGUCUGCAGGGGCAUCUAACUCUGUCCCAGGGUAUCCCAGACCCUGGCUCACGCCCCAGGCUCUCCAUUCAGGCUCCAUCGUCCACCUCAGACCAUCUCGGGUUUGCUGGUCUUCUGGACUAGCGCAGCCAGAAAGAACCCAGGAAGGAAGCCUCACGUCUGACACAAGAACCUUCGGUGCUAACCCGAGGGCGGUAUGUGCAUCCUCAGCACCUGCCCAUCCGGCACCAUCCUCUGAUCCAGGGACUGUGAGCAACAGGGCCCCGUGGCCAGGACAUCUCUCACCCUCCAGUUAAAAUCUCGCCAGUUGAGUCUGCCCAUGAAAGUAGGCGCUGAACUGCCCAAUAAAUCCACAAGUAAGAGUUGCAAGAAGGAGCCAAAAAGGGCUGAGCUGAAUGACUCAUAUAUGAAAUAAUUUGAUAAUUAAUAUAAAUAGGAAAUUUAAAGUCUCCAGCUGAGUGACAGAAAACACCUUAAAAAGCUCAAGAGAGAGGAAAGGAAGAAAAUAAACCUAUAAUUGCAAAAUAAAAGCAUUGAAAGAAGCCGUG
rnacentral:lncRNA from 1 species